rnacentral:rRNA from 1 species
CCUACGGGUGGCAGCAGUGAGGAAUAUUGGUCAAUGGGCGCGAGCCUGAACCAGCCAAGUCGCGUGAGGGAUGACGGUCCUACGGAUUGUAAACCUCUUUUGCCGUGGAGCAAGCGUGCGUUCGUGAACGCACGUCGAGAGUACCCGGAGAAAAAGAAUCGGCUAACUCCUUUCCAGCAGCCGCGGUAAUACGGAGGAUGCGAGCGUUAUCCGGAUUUAUUGGGUUUAAAGGGUGCGUAGGCGGGAUGCCAAGUCAGCGGUAAAAAUGCGGUGCUCAACGCCGUCGAGCCGUUGAAACUGGCAGUCUUGAGUGGGCGAGAAGUAUGCGGAAUGCGUGGUGUAGCGGUGAAAUGCAUAGAUAUCACGCAGAACUCCGAUUGCGAAGGCAGCAUACCGGCGCCCUACUGACGCUGAGGCACGAAAGCGUGGGUAUCGAACAGGAUUAGAUACCCUGGUAGUC